rnacentral:tRNA from 1 species
UGGCUCAGUUGGUAGAGCAUGGUGUUGACAAUGCCAGGGUUGUGGGUUCGUUUCCCAC